GAUGAACGCUGGCGGCGUGCCUAAUACAUGCAAGUCGAGCGAACAGACGAGGAGCUUGCUCCUCUGACGUUAGCGGCGGACGGGUGAGUAACACGUGGAUAACCUACCUAUAAGACUGGGAUAACUUCGGGAAACCGGAGCUAAUACCGGAUAAUAUAUUGAACCGCAUGGUUCAAUAGUGAAAGACGGUUUUGCUGUCACUUAUAGAUGGAUCCGCGCUGCAUUAGCUAGUUGGUAAGGUAACGGCUUACCAAGGCAACGAUGCGUAGCCGACCUGAGAGGGUGAUCGGCCACACUGGAACUGAGACACGGUCCAGACUACUACGGGAGGCAGCAGUAGGGAAUCUUCCGCAAAGGGCGAAAGCUUGACGGAGCAACGCCGCGUGAGUGAUGAAGGUCUUCGGAUCGUAAAACUCUGUUAUUAGGGAAGAACACAUGUGUAAGUAAAUGUGCACGUCUUGACGGUACCUAAUCAGAAAGCCACGGCUAACUACGUG
rnacentral:rRNA from 1 species